rnacentral:rRNA from 1 species
GACGAACGCUGGCGGCGUGCUUAACACAUGCAAGUCGAACGGAGUGGCGAACGGGUGAGUAACACGUGGGUGAUCUGCCUUGCACUUCGGGAUAAGCUUGGGAAACUGGGUCUAAUAGCGGAUAGUGCCAGAUGAGGUCGGGGCCUAUUAGCUUGUUGGUGGGGUAAUGGUCUACCAAGGCGUCGACGGGUAGCCGGCAUGGGAGGGGGUACGGCCACAUUGGGACUGAGAUACGGACAAGACGCCUACGUGAGGAAGGGGUGGGGAAUAUUGCACAAUGGGCGGAGGCCUGAUGCAGCGACGCCGGGUGGGGGAGGAAGGCUGUCGGGGUGUAAACUCCGUGCGACAGGGACGCGGUACCUGUAUAAGAAGCACCGGCUAACUACGUGCCAGCAGCCGCGGUAAUUC